UGGCGGCAGGCCUAACACAUGCAAGUCGAGCGGUAGCACAGAGAGCUUGCUCUCGGGUGACGAGCGGCGGACGGGUGAGUAAUGUCUGGGAAACUGCCUGAUGGAGGGGGAUAACUACUGGAAACGGUAGCUAAUACCGCAUAACGUCGCAAGACCAAAGUGGGGGACCUUCGGGCCUCAUGCCAUCAGAUGUGCCCAGAUGGGAUUAGCUGGUAGGUGGGGUAACGGCUCACCUAGGCGACGAUCCCUAGCUGGUCUGAGAGGAUGACCAGCCACACUGGAACUGAGACACGGUCCAGACUCCUACGGGAGGCAGCAGUGGGGAAUAUUGCACAAUGGGCGCAAGCCUGAUGCAGCCAUGCCGCGUGUGUGAAGAAGGCCUUCGGGUUGUAAAGCACUUUCAGCGGGGAGGAAGGCGGUGAGGUUAAUAACCUCAUCGAUUGACGUUACCCGCAGAAGAAGCACCGGCUAACUCCGUGCCAGCAGCCGCGGUAAUACGGAGGGUGCAAGCGUUAAUCGGAAUUACUGGGCGUAAAGCGCACGCAGGCGGUCUGUCAAGUCGGAUGUGAAAUCCCCGGGCUCAACCUGGGAACUGCAUUCGAAACUGGCAGGCUAGAGUCUUGUAGAGGGGGGUAGAAUUCCAGGUGUAGCGGUGAAAUGCGUAGAGAUCUGGAGGAAUACCGGUGGCGAAGGCGGCCCCCUGGACAAAGACUGACGCUCAGGUGCGAAAGCGUGGGGAGCAAACAGGAUUAGAUACCCUGGUAGUCCACGCUGUAAACGAUGUCGAUUUGGAGGUUGUGCCCUUGAGGCGUGGCUUCCGGAGCUAACGCGUUAAAUCGACCGCCUGGGGAGUACGGCCGCAAGGUUAAAACUCAAAUGAAUUGACGGGGGCCCGCACAAGCGGUGGAGCAUGUGGUUUAAUUCGAUGCAACGCGAAGAACCUUACCUGGUCUUGACAUCCACAGAACUUUCCAGAGAUGGAUUGGUGCCUUCGGGAACUGUGAGACAGGUGCUGCAUGGCUGUCGUCAGCUCGUGUUGUGAAAUGUUGGGUUAAGUCCCGCAACGAGCGCAACCCUUAUCCUUUGUUGCCAGCGGUCCGGCCGGGAACUCAAAGGAGACUGCCAGUGAUAAACUGGAGGAAGGUGGGGAUGACGUCAAGUCAUCAUGGCCCUUACGACCAGGGCUACACACGUGCUACAAUGGCAUAUACAAAGAGAAGCGACCUCGCGAGAGCAAGCGGACCUCAUAAAGUAUGUCGUAGUCCGGAUUGGAGUCUGCAACUCGACUCCAUGAAGUCGGAAUCGCUAGUAAUCGUAGAUCAGAAUGCUACGGUGAAUACGUUCCCGGGCCUUGUACACACCGCCCGUCACACCAUGGGAGUGGGUUGCAAAAGAAGUAGGUAGCUUAACCUUCGGGAGGGCGCUUACCA
rnacentral:rRNA from 1 species